GGGAGAGGGCCGAGAACACGCCUCCCGACCGGGACCCCCCGCACAGACCUUGGCGCCGCAACCUGCGCUUCUUGAGGCCGAAGAUGCGAACUUUGGAGAAGAUGUCCACCAGGGCAAGGAGUGGAGGAGCGGCGCCCGCAGGGUCUCCGCGUCGGUGCGUCCAGGGCGCGCCGGGCAGGACUCAGCGCCUGACUCGAGCUGCCCCCCGGCCGGUGCCGCCGCCGCUGCCCGCUCGCGGAUUCUGCCGGUGCCCGAGGCUCCCCGGGCUUAGCGAGGGUUUCUGGAUCUUAACGUGCCUCCUGGUCCACGGAAACUCGCGGGCGCGGCUGGAACGCGAGGUGGUUUCCGCCCUCCUGGCUAAUCCCUCCAGCUCCGGAGCCUCUCCACCCCGGGAAGGAGGAGAGGGGAGGAGGGAGCUUGGGUGGGAAGCGAAUGGGUCCUGAGAAGGGAGGCGUCUCCACUCCCUACCUAAUCCACCCAGACUCUCCGGACUAUUCCUUCGUCUAGCUGCCGGGAGAAGUAGGCUUGCCAUCCUGAAACCGUAGCAGAGCAAGAAGGAGGGUGCAGGGGAGGGGAGAAGACCCCACCUCACCCCUCGCCCCGCCCCGCAUUCCCAAAUGUACUCUGUAGCACUCGGAGGAAGAGAUGGCUGCAGCUGUAGCCGCUACAGAACAGCAGCGGGGACGGAACAUUGAAGAAGUCACUACAGAAUAUUAAGGGCGGGGAGGGUGACACAGUAUUCCAGUAACAAGAGAAAGCAGCCAGACUGAGGGACACUCCAAUUAGAGCUGGUGUCCCUGGGUAGAGAGCCAGGGAGCAAAGCGGAUGAACUGUGUCUGACAUUCAAACACAACAGCUGCUGCCUAGUCUCCCUGAUUUCCUGUCUGUGUCCCAACAGCAGUUCCGUGUUGGGUGAGCGAAAAUAUGAAGGCCCAGGAGGAGGGGAGCAAGUGGAGGGCGCCCUAGAAAAGGAGGUUGGGAGAGAAACAAUUCACGCCUGGGUGAACGCAGAUCCAUGGUUUCUAGGAUACACUCGGAGCGUCAGAACUAGGAGUAGCUUGUGCUCCUGUGGUUUCUCACCUUUCCCUCUUUCCUUUAGAUUGCUUGUCAUUCCAGGAAGGCAAAGAAAAGAAAUGGGCAAACUAGACGUCUCACAAUCGGGUGUGAAGAAUGGAGGAAAGAAAACUCAUUUGGAAUAGGCGGCAAAGUACCAUGCAGACCUGCAACCAGGCAAGUGGGAGAAGUUCAGACAAGGGCUGAUGACAAGGAUGCUAGACACCUUUUGUUCUAUGGAAGAACUUAUCCACAGUCUCACCAUGGAAGCAAUUACUGCUCAGCUGUUUUUCGUUGUAUUUACAACAUAUUUACUAACAAGUCUCUUCGGAGGAAGAGAAUUUAAUCUAAAAGGAGUAUGUAGAUUUCAGUCCAAUGCAGAUCAAAUUGGUUUUAGGAUAAUGUACAUAAUGUUUAACAUUAAAGAACAUAUUCUGCAAGCUGACUUUCCCUACCUUAUUGUGUUUUAUGCACCUAUGAAAUAUGUCUAUCUAAUAGCCAUGAUUAUUAAAAGGAAUAUGCAUGAGGAAUUCUUCCAGAGAUUUGCAAUCCUUAACCAGCUAUGAGAUAGGAAAAGUAAAGGAAAAGUGUGUGUUGACUAUUUUACUCUAUGCCUACCUUUUCCUCCCUGUGUUACAUGUCUUUGUUCUCAUCUUUUUACACUAUGUAUUUAGUGUUGCCAUGUUCCUGCUGAAAAAGGAAAGGUCAUCGGCAGAGAUGGAUACACCUAAUAAAAGGCUAUUAAAAACGCACUGAAAUAAGUCGUAUUGAACAGAAGAAGUAGCUUCUCCUGCCUUCCAUUAUUGAAGAGUGGCUAUUUGGACAUUUCAGACAUUACAGAUUGCAAUUUCCUAGUGACUUUACAAUUAAAGCAAACAUAUUUACUUAUAGUAAUGAGUUUUUCAAAGAAGCAAAAUGUUAAGUAUAGUAACCUUUUAAAUAUAGUACAAUUGCCCCAAACAACAUAACCCAGUUUGCUUUGAAAGUUUUUU